UCCUUCACGCGUUCUGCAGGAAAAAGAGGGGGAGGUAUGCGAACAAGAGGAGGGACAGAGGUGAGAGAGAGGACAGGGCGAGCGUCGUGUGAGACGUUUGGUCGGGGGGCAGGCCGGCAGCAGCAGCUGGCACGGCAGCAGGCCGUGCGCGCCGGUGCUAAAAAUUGUGAGAGUGGGUUCGUUUUUUGGGGCUGGAGAAAGAGAUGUUCAAGGGGGAACUCUUCGGUGAGAGUCCGAGAGAGAGAUGGUAAACGGAGAGUGAAAGGUCCAAGCGACUGAGAGAGCAAGAGAGGGCGCCUCGGCCCUUCCCGGCGACGUCCUCAAGCCGAACAGGUCCAUCAAGUCUCAGAGUCCGGAUUGGGUCAGUGGGGUCGCCAGAGUUUGGGGACCAAUCACUUGUUCGCAACCGCGUAGGUCGGCAUCGGCGGUUGGUGUUGAGGCGAAAGAACUUUAUGGUCGCGACAUGGUGGAAACAAAGUGAUACAAGAAAAGGAAUGCACUAGAAGCGAUGGGAAGUGAUGAAAGCCAAGAAAGACGAAGAAGGAUUAGGCUUCAAAGACUUGCAAAUCUUUAACGAGGCUAUGUUAGGAAAACAAACUUGGAGGCUAUCUCAAAAUCCUUUGGCUCUUUGGAGUUGGGUUCUUAAAGGCAUAUAUUUUCCGGAUGGAGAUUUUCCGAAAGCCAAAAAAGGACAUUGUUUGUCUUAGGGUUGGCAAAGCAUCCUAGUUGGAAGGGAAACCAUUGAACCGGAUGUUAAAUGGCUGGUGGGAGAUGGAAAGUCAAUAAAGAUAUGUGAGGAUAAAUGACUAACUUUGGGUUUGAUCAGGGGUCCCACAAUCAAGUACGAUCCAGACAAAGUAGCAUAUCUUAUUAACGAAGGAACAAAGGAAUGGAAAGAACUAACUUUGCAGAUAAUGUUUGCAAAGGAUGUCGUCAAAGAAAUACUAGCUUUUCGCAUCAGUCAUAACCCCACGGCCAAUGUUCUAUGUUGGACAACAAACAAAACCAGAGAUUACAUAGUUCAAAGCAGUUACAACAAUCAGCAUUCCAAGUCUAACAAGCUAGAUCUAUCCAAGGCAUCAACCUCAUACCAGCCUCCUUGACUAUUAUGGACAAAAAUAUGGAACCUCGUGUUCCCCCAAAGUGCGAAUGGACGCCUCCCAUAUCCUCCACCCUGCUUUCUUGCUCAUCCAGAGCUCCUCAUCCUCCUCCACUUCUAGCCGUGACAUCGAGUGGAGUAGCUAUCCAAACCAGAGCAGCAAAUCAGUGGAAAACGCCGUUCCCGAUCCUUCCACUUCCCCUCCACAAUUAUACAAAAACAAACCCCACAAUUACGAGAAUGAGACGCACCUUCCUUGACUGCAGAGAGGAGACAGUGCUGUUGUUCCAGGAAGAGGAAGUCGCCACACAGCCACCGACCAUCGAACUCCUCAACCAGCACCAAAGCCUAGGCACAAGAGAGACUCCUGACCCCCCUACUUGGUUGGGCGAUUCUCCAAACGCUUGCUUGAGAAGUGCUACUGUGUCGUCACCGUCCAUUGCCGUUGUCUCUGUCUGAGAAUUGGUUGGUGUGGGAAAAGUUGAUGAAAGGGGAUGAAGAUUAGUGAAUAUCUAGCUGUGUCAGCGUGUUGUUAAUACUCUGCAACAAAGCCUAGAGAGUGCAGACUCGUACAUAAAAAUUUCGAUCCUUUUCCAUUUGUAGACAAAAACGAUCGGAAACCACCAUAAGAAAGGGAGAAGGGAAAAUCAAGAGCAGCACCAAGAAGUGGGAAGGGGGAGAGUGGAAGGGCGACACGCAUUGGAGGUGGAGGUGGAGGUGGUGCUUUAGAGAUCGGAUGUUGGAGAGGUGGGAGAGCCGAUGAUCGAAGGAGGACUAGGGUUGGCGGGAAUGGGACUGGAGCGGGGAGAAGCCGGAGGAGAGAAGAGAGAGAGAGGUACUUCGGCAUAAGGAGGAAGCAGGUCUGCUCGGCGGAGAUGAAGGAGACGUUGGCUUUCUCGGCCGGCCAACAAAUCCAGUGGAGCCACACAAAAAAAAAGGAAAAUUUUCCUUACCACAAAAUGAAAAUAUUUUCUGAAUCUUUUUCAAAUUUCAGCCAAACACCGAAUUAUAUUGACAUUUUUCUAAAAAAUGACUUCCUGAAAAAAAAAAAAAAUCGAAAUCGUCCCAUUUUCCACAACAUAAAGAAAGCCAUUGAAUAUAAGUAUUUUACCGACCAAAAAAAAGAAUAUAAGUAUUUUCUUAGGUUGGGAAAAAGGUCCCUAAAUUUUUUGUAUAUAUUUAAUUUAAUCCCCAAACUAUAUGAAAAUGUCAAAUAUUAUUAUUUCAUUAUUUAAAUUAAGGAAAUUUGCCAAUUGACUUCCAAUUGGUACAAUUUUUUUGUCGAAAUCCAAUAUGUUUGAACAAUGGACAAAAAAGCAUUACACAUGGAUUAUUCAAGUAAGAUAUUUUAACUCAAAUUAAAAUGAUAUUUUAAUUUUUUAAUGUAAAAAUGAUUAGUUGUGUUAUUUAAUGAAGUUGUUUAUUAUAUCUUGAUUUCAUGUUAAGUGGAUAAUUCACAUGCAAAGUUUUUUCCCCCUAAAAGUUGAGGGAUGGCAAUAUAGUUGGGUUAAAACUCAUGCAUUACAUUACACAAAUUAAAAAUUCAAGGACAAUAUUACAUAUUUGAUUAUAGUUUAUGUGACCAUUUAUAUAAUUAUCCCAUAUAAGUAUACUAAUAUUUUUUGGCCUAAGUGAAGGCCCAAGUAUAUAUAUGCUCGAACCAUCUACAAACCAUGCAUACAAGAGAAAGACAAAAUUGCACACAAGGAUUUACUGAUUAUCAAAUUCAAGAACAAACUAAUCUUCUUAUUUCAA